AGCCACCGCCCCCGGCCUUAUUACUAUUAUUACUCAAUUAUAUGCCACUUGUUCAAAAUUGAAAAUUUCCCACAAGGUAGACUGUUUUCCAGCCCCCACCAUUCACUCUUUUAUUUGCUGGCAACGUGUUUCUAGAAUUGUUUGACUUUCUAUAAAAGUCUCCAUAUAUUUCAGGAGUAAUUUUCAAGUACAGUAACUCUCAAAUGUAGGAUGCCAUUGCUGUCAUUGCAUUGAUUAUUGAGAAAAUAAAUAAAUAGCAAAACAAUGCAAGGAAUAGUCAUCAUAUCCCGAGUUUCCAGAUGCACGAUCUUCUCUCAGUGAAAGGAAUGAAAUUCUUUUUUCAUCUUUCAGACUUGGCUUAUUAAAGUAAUUUCCACCAAGUUGUUUCUGGCAGUUAAUAAGGAGAAUUUUAAUUCACAGAGGAAACAGAGGAAAGGGGAAGGAAGCGAAUAUCUGCCUUCUAUAAAUCAGACUCUUUAAGGCAUUGAUUUCAUUAAAUAUUUAAAAUAAUCCAAUGAUGUUCAGAUUAGCGUCUCCAUGUUACACAGCAGGACAGUGCGACUUCAGAUGAUAAAACUUCCUGCCUAAUGUGACACAGCCAGAAAAUGGCAGAGUGAAGCCACACUGCUUGGGCCCACCCAAGAAUUUAAUCUUCUCAGCCAAGAGCAUUAAGAAAAAUAACAAACAAAAGAGGUGGCAUGAUUCCAUCCAGGAAAGACAGUAGCACCUGAAAAUCCAGAAUUUUCAGGGUGUGGUUCCAUGGGCAGCUUAAAGGGAACACAAUGGCCCCCACCAAGGUGGCUUGUUUCACUUUCCUUGUCUUCUCCACAGACCAGCAGAAGGCCCCACCGGAGAUAAAGCUCAGAAUGUACAAAUCCCAAAUUUACCCAGCCCAGGAAUAUCCAGAGACCAAUAACUUCCUGGUCUCCCAAUCUGGCGGUCUCCUUUUCUUUGAUAACCACCCCAGUUGUUUUCAUUUCUCAUUUCUUUUUCUUGCAUGUAACCAUUGGCUUGUUUCCAUGCCACCCAGCUCCUACAAUAGAAGCGAUGUGAGAUUUUCUGCUACAGCAACAUUCUUCGGGUGUUAAAGUUGCUUUGUUUUAAAAAGCCUGAUGGUGGCUUAGCCACAGAAGAAUGAACAUGACGCCUUGGCUCCUUGCUGGGGAGGCACCCGUGGGAUGGUGUCACCUGUCACUGGGAGACAAAGAAAGUCGUGCUCUGUCACUCUUUGGGUGGCAAUUCUGUUGAAGUCACUGACCCUGCUUCCUCAAAUUUUGCCUCUGCAUCUGAUGGGGUGCAGGCUUUUUUAGGGUUCUUUUCCAGAUGUCUUUUGUGAACACCACCCUCUGAGACAGAGAUAUGGGGUUUUAGGAUACCUGCUUUAGUGCCUUUUAUGACUUCAUCUUUCUGCUUGCUGCUCUUGAGAAAAUGGACUUCACACAAUAGGGAGAUUUAUGACUCUUCCUAGCAGCUUUCACAGAAAGAGUUAGCAGAGUGAAUGAGGAAACGUCUUUUCUCUUUUUGCCCAUACCAGCAUUUCGGGGUGUGAAGACAGUGUGCUGAGUCUUCUUGUUUAUAAAUCUACUUUCCAUGAGCCUUCAGAUAAAGGAGAACUAGUUUUAUUUAAAGCAAGCUAAUAGUGUUAAUUAUGAGAAAUAUGAUAAAGUUUUUUAAAAACCCUAGUGAUUAACAAAAGACCAAUACUGAAAUUAUAAAGAAGAAAAUUCUAGAAUCUUCCUUGGUGACACUCAAUUCAUGUGUAAUCCAAAUACCCAAGCAUUUGGUAUUGCAUUCUACAAUUAUUUGUCAAAUGUCUGCUACACAUUAGGCAUUGUGAUAGGCAGCAGAUACACAAGAACAAACCAGAUAGGCGUGGUUUCUCAGGGAGCUGAUUAGCUACUGAAGAGGACAGACACCUAGACGCUACACAAUAAAUUUGGUCUAUUGAAGAGAGGGUCCUAACUCACUGGAAAUCAAUGAGAGUGCUCAGGAUGAAGUGAUGCUCAGAGACUCCUGUACCUUGUCCUCUUUCUCCAUUGUGUUGGGCCCAAGAUUAAAUGGUAACAUCAAAAAGCUUAAUUCUCUAACCCAGGAGAUUCCAUGAUCAUGAAGGUGAUGAUAAACCCUUUCAGCUCGGGACCAUCCAUCAUAUCAUGACACUCAGAGGUGAUGUCAAAUCUUUGAUAUCAAAUUUUUUUUGAAGUUCAUUUUCUGUCAUGAUAUAAUUGUUGGGUCUAGGUCUGCCUUUCUAUUUUAUAUUGGAGAGUAUUCGGUGAUGGAGGGGUGUGUGUGUAUGUGUGUGUGUGUGUGUGUGUGUGUGUGUCUUUAUUUUUUUCUUUUCUGUAGCUUAGAUCUUGGUUACAAAAUAACUGUAAUAUAGCCUAUUAACCACACUUUAUUGUAGGGUUUUAAGAGCUACAAGGAAGUAUUCAAUCCUGCCACAUUUCUGCAUACUUAUAGGGAGAAAGGAUGGAUACUUUCAUUAUUGCUGUUAUCAGAAGAAAAAGAACCUUAAGGAAAAGAAGGACCAAGCCUGGAUGUUUCCACUGUUCAAUCUCCAGCACUCAGUCCAGUUUUAGAGGAGAACAGACCCUCAACAUAUACUUGCUGGUUGAGAAAAGAGAGGCCUUCUCAGUACCACAGGAAGAGUCUAGGGAGAACGAUAGUCCCAAGAGGUGGUCCUUGGCAAGCUGGUUCUGUAGUGGAAGAAGACUGGAAAUGACUGCCUACCGCUGCUCUCACAUGAAGUUUCUCACUCAUCGGGAACCAAGGUGCUGCAUAAUGUCCUGAUCUGCCAAUCUUAGCAUGUCACCUGCAUCCAGAACAGCAGGAAGGAGAAAAGCAGAAGACCCUUUCCCUCUACAACAACAUCCUAGAAAUAACACACGACACUUCUAUGCAAAACUUUAUUGAUGAAAACUCAGUCUGAUGGCUGCUCUUGGCUAUAAAAGGACUGAGAGAAUUAGGUUUUCAGCCAGGACAUAACUCUGGACUGUUAAAAGCCAGGGUUCUGGCCGGGCGCAAUGGCUCACGCCUGUA